rnacentral:rRNA from 1 species
UACGUAGGGGGCAAGCGUUGUCCGGAUUUAUUGGGCGUAAAGAGCGUGUAGGCGGUUAUACAGGUCCGCUGUGAAAACUGGAGGCUUAACCUCCAGACGUCGGUGGAAACCGUAUGACUAGAGUCCGGAAGAGGAGAGUGGAAUUCCUGGUGUAGCGGUGAAAUGCGCAGAUAUCAGGAAGAACACCCGUGGCGAAGGCGGCCCCCUGGUUGGAUACUGACGCUGAUACGCGAAAGCGUGGGGAGCAAACAGG